AAUAAAGAUGGUGUCAAGGGAGAGGGUGGGGUUCUCAGGAGGCGGUCAGGGUUCCGCCCUGUGACCAGAGGAGCGGCGAACGGUUGAGUAAUGAGUAGGAAUCUGCCUGGUAGUGGGGGAUAACGUUCGGAAACGGACGCUUAUACCGUAUACGUCCUACGGGAGAAAACAGGGGACCUUCGGGCCUUGCCCUAUCAGAUGAGCCUAGGUCGGAUUACUAGUUGGUGAGGUAAGGGCUCACCAAGGCGACGAUCCGUAACUGGUCUGAGAGGAUGCCAGUCACACUGGAACUGAGACACAGUCCAGACUCCUAGGGGAGGCAGCACGGGGAAUAUUGGACAAUGGGCAAACCCUGACCCAGCCUGCCGGUGUGUAAAAGGUCUUCGGAUUGUAAAGCACUUUAGGUGGGAGGAAGGGUUGUAGAUUAAUACUCUGAAUUUUGACGUUACCGACGGAAUAAGCCCCGGCUAACUCUGUGCCCCAAAGGUGAGGGCACUAUCAAAUUGUAAAAGAUUAAUCGAAAAAACGUACGAAAUAUAAAAUUGACUGAUUGGGGGUGGAAGGGUGUGGGGAAUUUCC
rnacentral:rRNA from 1 species